CACCAUUUUACCAUCCUCAACUCCCUAGUAUUAUGAUGCGUUUCAUUACUAUCCCCUUUACUCACCCAUUUCUCUUUCUCUCUCUUCUCAUCUUUUUCUUCUUUCGCAGUUCAGUUCGUCUUCCUUCAUCUGGUUAAUUUUUCAUUCUUUUCAAUGAUAUGGGCUCGAUUUCAUGGAAAUGGUUCGCAUGGCAGAUCUAUUGUGUGAGUUUUUUUCAUUCGAAUUUUUUUGUUUCUAUUUUAUGACUAGGAUUUAUGGUUCUUCUUCGUGUCUGCUUCUUUUUUCAGUCGUUAUAUGUUUUUCUUAUUCGUCUCUAAUAUUUUUUGUUUUCACUUCUAUUGCGUUUUUUUCCUCGUCUCAAAGGUAACUUUUUCCCACUUGUAUUAUGUUUACCCUAUUAUUUUUCUCCUAUUGAUAUCUUCUUCUUCUUUGUGUGUGCUACCUCUUUCGAUCACUAUAUGUGUUUAUUCUUCGUUCUUUCGCUUCUGUUAUGUUAUUACAACCAAGUCUCUGUCAUUUUGUUUCCAUUUCUAUUAUGUUUACUUCUUCAUCUUCGUUCUUUCUUCCCCUGUUGAUAUUUGUUCUGAUUCAUCUCUAUCUUUCCUACUUUUUUUUCCAAAUCUCCUUUUUCCGCUUCAAUAAUAAACCAUGUGUCCUUCACUUGUCCUUUUCUUUGCUUUUCCAUCAAAAAUUGGAUAUUGAAAAACAUUGAAAAGAAGAUAGACUGUGGUAUAAUGAUGGCACAUAAUAUAAAUUUAUAUUUUGAAAAUAAGAUAGACUAUGGUAUAAUGAUUGCACAUAGACUAUGGUAUAAUGAUUGCACAUACUAUAAUGUGUAAAAUUUUGAAAUAUAAAUUUGAUUACACAUAACGUGAAAAAAAGAUAGACUAUGGUAUAAUGUUAGGAGUUUUGAUUGGGUCAACAAUUUAUUAAAAACUCAUAAAUAAAACUCAUAAUGUUAAUAGACUAGAAUUUAUUAAUACCUAUAAGCCUUUAAAAAACCAUAAUCGGAUGAUAGAACAACAACCAGCAUAAGAUUGGCCAGACUCGUUGUGUGGCAAACGGAGAAGUACAAGCUGGAAUUUGGAUGUCGGAAGGAGGUAGUUAAUGUCAUAUUUAGUAUUGAGGGGUUGAUUGAGGAUGAUAGACACGACCUAGUUGAUAUCAUUGGUACAGACAUACAAAAGGCGGACAUCUUCCUCGUUGUACCAGAAGAGGCAUAGAAAUGGUAUUGCAUCUGCCUACUUGCUCAGACCCUUUAGAUUGACCACCUAAUAUUUCAACCCAAAAAUGUAUAUUUUGUGAAUUUGAUUUUUGAAACGGGCACAUAUUUUGCUGUUCGAUAUUACUUUUGUGAUGUUCAAAAGAAUGUAACUUUACUAUAUUAACACACUGUAAACAUCAUUAUGAAAUGAAAGGUAAAUAUUCUAUGCACAA